rnacentral:rRNA from 1 species
CAGUAGCCGCGGUAAUACGUAGGGCGCAAGCGUUAUCCGGAAUUAUUGGGCGUAAAGAGCUCGUAGGCGGUUUGUCGCGUCUGCCGUGAAAGUCCGGGGCUCAACCCCGGAUCUGCGGUGGGUACGGGCAGACUAGAGUGAUGUAGGGGAGACUGGAAUUCCUGGUGUAGCGGUGAAAUGCGCAGAUAUCAGGAGGAACACCGAUGGCGAAGGCAGGUCUCUGGGCAUUAACUGACGCUGAGGAGCGAAAGCAUGGGGAGCGAACAGGAUUAGAGACCCGAGUAGUCCCUGUCUCUUAUAA